GAUCAUGGCUCAGGAUGAACGCUAGCGACAGGCCUAACACAUGCAAGUCGAGGGGCAGCGCGGGAGAAGCUUGCUUUCCUGGCGGCGACCGGCGCACGGGUGCGUAACAGGUGUGCAAUCUGUCCAUAGUCGGGGGAUAGCCCAGCGAAAGCUGAAUUAACACUCCAUGUGAAUCGAAGCCGCAUGACUUUGAUUUGAAACGCAAGGACUAUGGGUGAGCACGCUUCUGAUUAGGUAGUUGGUGGGGUAACGGCCCACCAAGCCGACGAUCAGUAGGGGUUCUGAGAGGAAGGUCCCCCACAUUGGAACUGAGACACGGUCCAAACUCCUACGGGAGGCAGCAGUGAGGAAUAUUGGUCAAUGGGCGAGAGCCUGAACCAGCCAAGUCGCGUGAAGGAUGAAGGUUCUAUGGAUUGUAAACUUCUUUUGUCCGAGGGUAAAAAAGGCUACGUGUAGCUUCUUGCAAGUAUCGGACGAAUAAGCAUCGGCUAACUCCGUGCCAGCAGCUGC
rnacentral:rRNA from 1 species